GACGAACGCUGGCGGCGCGCUUAACACAUGCAAGUCGAGCGAGAACCAGGGCUUCGGCCCUGGGGACAGCGGCGAACGGGUGAGUAACACGUGGGUAAUCUGCCCUCGGCACCGGAAUAGCCCGGGGAAACCCGGAUUAAUGCCGGAUGGCCCCUUCACCUCGCGAGGUGUCGGGAAAAGGUAGCUUCGGCCUCUGGCCGAGGAUGAGCCCGCGGCGGAUUAGCUUGUUGGCGGGGUAACGGCCCACCAAGGCGACGAUCCGUAGCUGGUCUGAGAGGACGAUCAGCCACACUGGGACUGAGACACGGCCCAGACUCCUACGGGAGGCAGCAGUGGGGAAUCUUGCGCAAUGGGCGAAAGCCUGACGCAGCGACGCCGCGUGAGGGAAGAAGGCCUUCGGGUUGUAAACCUCUUCCAGGAGGGACGAAGCUACUCGGGUGAAUAGCCCAGAGGGUGACGGUACCUCCAGAAGAAGCCCCGGCUAACUACGUGCCAGCAGCCGCGGUAAAAC
rnacentral:rRNA from 1 species